AGGAAGAGCAAAAGAGAGUGGGGCAUGAUCCUCUCUUCCUCCCUUAUGUUGUGUGCCCGCUCUCCACCCAUACCAUCUCCUGCCCUCCCCUUCCUUAGCUCAAGAUGUUUACAAAGUGAGGCCCCUGCCCCUUGAGGAGUUAAACUUCUAAACUUCUCAAGUCGACACAAUGUAUUAACCAUUACAGCAAUUCAGCAACCUUUUGAGGUGCUUCUCAAAAUAAAAGAAGAGAUGGGGGUUGGGCGUGUUGUUCGUCUGAGGCCCUGAGUUCAGUUCCCAGUACUGCAAGAAAACAAAACAAACCAAAGCAAAGCAAAACAAAAUAAAAGGCAAAAAGAAAAGAAAACAAGGAAGAAAUGAAUAAUGUACUUGUUUUCUAAGUUGCUCUACUGAUUUUUUUUUUACCAGGAGGAUUAAAAAUAUAAGAAAAAAAUGUGAAAGUCAGAGAAAGACCAAACAAUAAAAUCAAAGAACAUGUUGGUCUGGUUCAGUUUCCACUUGGCUGCCAAUGGUGACAGUGAGACCUCCUUGUACAUGAAGCUUUUUAAACUGUUGACCUAUUUUAUAAUAAAGUUUUAUUUAAAGGGGUAAAAAAGAAUGCAUUGGCCUGGAGGUAGAAAUGGUGUUGGGACCCACGGAAAAUUCCAAGUGACUCUCAGACGAUCAGACCCUCCAGGCAUGUGAAGCUCCCACCUCGGCAGGACCCCUGCACGGCCUGCAAAGCCUGUGGGGCCGGUGACAUCCGAUCACCACCACCACCACCACCUCCCAAGAUCACAGAGGAGGUGUUGUGGGGAAACCUGAAUCAACAGUAGCCAGGAGCUCAGGAGAAGAAAGGAAAUUUUAUUGACACUAGCAGACCCCAGAGGAGUAAUCUCCAGAGUCUGAGGAUGAGCCUGGAAACAGUUACUUCUAGAGAGUGACAAAACCUGAUGAGCCAUGGUGCUUCCGGAGCCAGGUGUGAAGUAAGUGCCACUUAGCUAGACAGUGAUGUUCUUCUCACUUUUAAGUCCCAGAGAGUUAUCACCUCAAGGACACCUCUGCCCCAUCUCAGCUAAUGAUUGAUCCUUUCCCCGUGUUACACCACAGCAACCCCAACAAGCUUAUGUAGAAUAAGUCUGCCUGACAACGUAGGACCCAGCCUACGGAACCAGUUAUAAAAUAUCCUGUUAUCUUCCUUUGUACUUCUUUUGAAAACCUAUAUAAAUGACUACCUUACUUUAACAAAGGGCUGGUGCUUUAGACCUCAAUGUCCCCAGUCUGCCAAUAUAACAAAGCUGUCUGUCUUCCAAAGUGCCUCUGGUGCCGUGUCUUGGUUUGGUCUGGUCCUGAACCCUGCAACAGGCCCAUGGAGUCCAAGGGAGACCUAACCACCUUGGGGCACGGUCAUGAGCCUCGAAAGGUAAACUCCAGCCUAAGGAUUAGAAGUGAGUGAGAUGGCCCUCCUGUCUCCUCCGGUCAUCUCUGACCACCCGGCCUCUCCCAGCUCGCACCUCAGGCAGCCUGAGGCACACACACCAGUGUCACCUGCCCCAGCACCAGGCCGCUCCCCACUGCUAAACUCCCAGGAGCAAGUGCUGGAUGGAUACGUCAGACCUGCUCUCCAACCUCCCAGGGGGCCAGAGAAGGAGGCAAAGAGCAAAAAGCCUCCAGCUGUGCCAAGAGACUGCCGCCUUCCCCCGGAGCUGAAGCUCACAGGCCUGGCAAGGGGAAAGCACAUGUGCCACCAGUCCUGCCACGGAGGGUUGUGACUGGGAUGAGAGAAGCUGCCCCGACCUCCUAAGCACCCUUGUUUGACUCCGAAGGGACACCUGGGCAGCCAGCAGAGAACAUGUGGAGGCCAGAGGACCCCAAGACAUCAGAGGAGAAGCGAGAGACCUUGGAGGAGAAAUAAGAGACAGUGACAGGUGGCGCUGCCCCUUGGCCAGCACCUUCUCACUUCUGCUGGAGGGACUGCAGACACCCUGCCCCAUCCCAGGAACACUUGCUCAGUCCCCAGUAUCCCUACCACCUCCGCCUGGGUACAGAAGGCAGCUGGGCCCCCUACUCUGUGUGACCCUCUGUCUUCCUCCACACCCAAUAGAGACUGGCCAGUAACACCCUCAGCCCCGAUUCUAUCGCACCUCCCAGUUCUCUCCUCACAGCCCUGGUGUCCCCUCAAAACCUCCCUCCUGCCUAAGAGAACCCCUGACACCCACCCCUGUAGUUGCUCCUCUACCAGAUGGUUGUUUCCCAAAGGGACCGGUCUCCACCAGACCUUGUAUACGUAGCGUCUCCUGCCCCACCCCAAUCUUUAACUGUCCCCUUGCCCUGCAAACCAUUCCCUACCCCACAAUGGGGAUGCCUGAUGGGCAACAACAGCCAGCCUGUCUGCCCAAAGCCCCUCUUCCUGUCCUGCCUGUCAUGGACCCUUCAUGCUUCAACAUUUUAGCAGACAGAGCCAGUACACUGUCACCGUCCAGGCCUGCCUCUGGCUUGGAUACAACUUUGUCUUCCAUGUCUACACCCAUGACUACAGCCCAACUGCUGUCUGACUUGGAAGCCAUGGUACCACCCCACCACCCAUGUCUGUCCUGCUGUAGUCUCCGUCCAGCCUCCUCCCGUGCAGCUGCCACCCCUCUGGGGCACAGAAGAGAGAUGUCAAUCAGCCAGCCUUCCCUAGCAUGACUAUGAACCUGCUUAUUCCAAACUGUGGGCCAGUUAGCGUGGACCUGGCUUGACACCCACCUCUCUUUCCUGUUACCCCUGUGUCCCUCACCUAUUUGCCUCAGUAGCCCUGGUAUUUCCCUAUUGUGCACAUAAAAACCUGGUUAUUGUUUA